rnacentral:rRNA from 1 species
GACGAACGCUGGCGGCGUGCUUAACACAUGCAAGUCGAACGCUGAAGCUCAGCUUUUGUUGGGUGGAUGAGUGGCGAACGGGUGAGUAACACGUGAGUAACCUGCCCCCUUCUUUGGGAUAACGCCCGGAAACGGGUGCUAAUACUGGAUAUUCACUGGUCUUCGCAUGGGGGUUGGUGGAAAGGGUUUUUCUGGUGGGGGAUGGGCUCGCGGCCUAUCAGCUUGUUGGUGGGGUGAUGGCCUACCAAGGCUUUGACGGGUAGCCGGCCUGAGAGGGUGACCGGGCACAUUGGGACUGAGAUACGGCCCAGACUCCUACGGGAGGCAGCAGUGGGGAAAAUUGCACAAUGGGCGCAAGCCUGAUGCAGCGACGCCGCGUGAGGGAUGGAGGCCUUCGGGUUGUGAACCUCUUUCGCUAAUGGUCAAGCCGCAACAAUGGUUGUGGUGAGGGUAGUGGGUAAAGAAGCGCCGGCUAACUACGUG